AUUGAACGCUGGCGGCAUGCUUUACACAUGCAAGUCGAACGGUAACAGGCCGCAAGGUGCUGACGAGUGGCGAACGGGUGAGUAAUGCAUCGGAACGUGCCCAGUCGUGGGGGAUAACUACUCGAAAGAGUAGCUAAUACCGCAUACGAUCUAUGGAUGAAAGCGGGGGACCGUAAGGCCUCGCGCGAUUGGAGCGGCCGAUGUCAGAUUAGGUAGUUGGUGGGGUAAAGGCUCACCAAGCCAACGAUCUGUAGCUGGUCUGAGAGGACGACCAGCCACACUGGGACUGAGACACGGCCCAGACUCCUACGGGAGGUAGCAGUGGGGAAUUUUGGACAAUGGGCGCAAGCCUGAUCCAGCAAUGCCGCGUGCAGGAAGAAGGCCUUCGGGUUGUAAACUGCUUUUGUACGGAACGAAACGGCUCUGGUUAAUACCCGGGGCUAAUGACGGUACCGUAAGAAUAAGCACCGGCUAACUACGUG
rnacentral:rRNA from 1 species